GUGACCCCAGGUCAGGCGGGACCACCCGCUGAGUUUAAGCAUAUC
rnacentral:rRNA from 1 species